rnacentral:tRNA from 1 species
AGUCCCGUGGUCCAACGGCAACGACGCUUGGUUCACAUCCAGGAAACGAUGGUUCAACUCCAUUCGGGACUAC